AGAGAUUUUAGUUGGAGAAAUAUGACAAGUUUAGGCGUGUUUCUUGGAAUUCUCUGUCUUCCUCAUUUUAUUUAUUUCUUUAUUUUUGUAAUUGACCAAUUGCCUUGACAUUAUGUUCUAACAGAAAAUAUUAUUCACUCGUGGGCUAAUGGCUACUUAAAUAGUACCUUAGGCAAGAAGAAUUUGCAUUCUAGAUCUCAUAAUACCCUGAAUAUAUGGCGCACCCUUCAUAGUAUUUUCGGCAUGAGUAGCUAACAAAUACCCUUCUUCUUUUACAGAGCGAGCGGCUGCAGGUCCGUGGAGCCAGGGUCUUCUCCGGACAAGGCUUGGAAUUUACUACGGUGCCACUACACUUCAACGUCCGUCUCCGUAAAACACACUGCAGAAGUAGUUUAUUCCAAACCGGCAAUCUCCAACCUAAAGAUAACUGGUCCUGCCUGACGUAUUGUUGAGUGUGGCUUGCUGCGUGGUGGGCCAGAUUCUUUGCCCCACAGCUAGACACGUCUGGCGUCCGAUUUAACACGCUGUCACUUCACUUGGACGGAGACACUCGUCACGGAAGCUGUUGGAUGAACCUCAUUGCAGACAUGAUGAAGGACUUCACAAUCCUAUCCUGCGUAGGU